rnacentral:rRNA from 1 species
CCUACGGGCGGCAGCAGUGAGGAAUAUUGGUCAAUGGACGAGAGUCUGAACCAGCCAAUUAGCGUGAAGGCUGACUGCCCUAUGGGUUGUAAACUUCUUUUAUAUGGGAAUAAAAUGUUCCACGUGUGGGAUUUUGUAUGUACCAUAUGCAUAAGGAUCGGCUAACUCCGUGCCAGCAGCCGCGGUAAUACGGAGGAUCCGAGCGUUAUCCGGAUUUAUUGGGGUUAAAGGGAGCGUAGGUGGAUUGUUAAGGCAGUUGUGAAAGUUUGCGGCUCAACCGUAAAAUUGCAGUUGAAACUGGCAGUCUUGAGUACAGUAGAGGUGGGCGGAAUUCGUGGUGUAGCGGUGAAAUGCUUAGAUAUCACGAAGAACUCCGAUUGCGAAGGCAGUUCACUGGACUGCAACUGACACUGAGGCUCGAAAGUGUGGGUAUCAAACAGGAUUAGAUACCCCAGUAGUC